GACUUUGGGUUUUACUAGUGCAAAAGGGCCACCUUACCCCCAAGUUCUCAAAGGAUACCUCAUUAUUAAAAGGAGAAGCAUCCCCCUUCUUUCAAUACUAAUGUUUCACUCCACACAGAAGAGGGGAGGACACAUCACUUUAGAGGUGGGCUCCAGCCAGUCAACCAAGGGACCAUUUUAGUUAUCCUGUCUGAUUUCUGGUUGGGUUAUGGCCAAGUGCUAUCCCAGUUUUGCACUUCUUUCUUCCAUCUACAGAACGUCUGUUGACCCUCGGGGAACAUUUUCUGAACAUGUCCUUGUAACAUGGUGCCAGGCACUACAGAAAAUCUGAGCCAAAAAAAGCCCUGGAUCUGAGCUCUUCUGAAAUCCUGUAUAAUAUAGCGCAUGAGAAAAGAAUACCCGGAUAUGAAUCAGAAGACUUCUAUGCCUGUCUCAGUUUUGCCAUUCUCUAACUCAGAAGUUGGUAACCAUUUUUGGUGAAGGUGAGCAUCCCCAGAGAAUGAGAUGGAAGGGGCAUGACCUUUUUGGACCUAAGCUGGGAAGUCUAUACAAGUCACAACUUUCCCAGAUUCAAGUGGAGGACAGAUCCUUCAGAGCCUCAAAAAACCCAGUGAAGCCAGCCUUAGGUGAGCCCAGUGAUGGUGACUCAUGCUUUCUGA